rnacentral:lncRNA from 1 species
GCUACCUCUAUGCCAAUGAAUGAACAUGCGUUUUUCUUAAAAAAAAUGGUGUCGUUCUUAUUUGAUAAUUCCUUUCGUUUUUGUUAAAAUCCUAAGAAUUCCGGUCCCCACCCUCCAUGUAGCCAUGUGCUUCGAGAGCUGACACGUGGAAUCAUUUCACGUGUUUUUGGCUCUUUGCCAUUCGUAAUACUGCCAUUUGUACUACCCCAUUUUGGUUAUGAACGCAUAAGGCCGAAAUGGGUUUUCGGUCUCUACAAUUUUGAUCUUCAUUUUUCAUUUGUUUUGUUUGUUUUCUUUUGGAUCAACUGUUUCCGCAGAACAUUCGUACGCAAUUUGUCAGCUCGACCAUGAGCGAUGAGACUUGGUCGACGAUCAUGUGUCAGAUGAUUUGCUCCGUGCUCACUUCAGAAAAAGCCAACUA